rnacentral:rRNA from 1 species
UGAGUAACACGUGAGUGACCUGCCUUUUAGACUGGAACAACUUACCGAAAGGUGAGCUAAUGCCGGAUGAGUUAUAUAAGUGCAUGUUUAUAUAGGAAAAGUUGGGGAGACCUGACGCUGAAAGAUGGACCCGCGUCCCAUUAGCUAGUUGGUAGGGUAAUGGCCUACCAAGGCGACGAUGGGUAGCCGGCCUGAGAGGGUGGCCGGCCACACUGGGACUGAGACACGGCCCAGACUCCUACGGAAGGCAGCAG